rnacentral:rRNA from 1 species
GACGAACGCUGGCGGCGUGCUUAACACAUGCAAGUCGAACGGAAAGGCCCUGCUUGUGUGGGGUGCUCGAGUGGCGAACGGGUGAGUAACACGUGAGUAACCUGCCCUUGACUUUGGGAUAACUUCAGGAAACUGGGGCUAAUACCGGAUAGGAGCUCCUGCUGCAUGGUGGGGGUUGGAAAGUUUCGGCUGUUGGGGAUGGACUCGCGGCUUAUCAUCUUGUUGGUGGGGUAGUGGCUUACCAAGGCUUUGACGGGUAGCCGGCCUGUGAGGGUGACCGGCCACAUUGGGACUGAGAUACGGCCCAGACUCCUACGGGAGGCAGCAGUGGGGAAUAUUGCACAAUGGGCGGACGCCUGAUGCAGCAACGCCGCGUGCGGGAUGACGGCCUUCGGGUUGUAAACCGCUUUCGCCUGUGACGACGCGUGAGUGACGGUAAUGGGUAAAGAAGCACCGGCUAACUACGUG